UGGACGGAGAGAUGGCAGAUAUACGAGGCAGAAAGAUGUUAAAGACGUCGCGGCGUGUCGUACGCCCGACAAGUGGCGCGCAUCACGCGAUAACAGGGAUAACGAGAAGGACAAGAACGACGAAUAGGAGCACCACCGCGACCACGUUCACAAGAAUCGUGGUCGUGGUCGUCAGGAGUGUGGUUCAAACGAGAAGAGAUAUCCUCCGGUUCGUGAGGGACCUAUAUAACUGUACUGUGUGUCUGGGUCAGGGGGCGGGCCGCCACGUUUAUAGUAUACUCUCUAUAUUGGACAGGUGUACCCCAUUCCGACUCCACGAGUUCUCGCGUGCACCAUCGAGCCACAGCAGGCUGUAACGUGUCUUUCUAGCUGCCGUGACAGAUAUCGUGGUGCAUCGCGGUAAACACGGGAAGAUCAGUCGCGACGGGGACCCUCCGAGGACGGUUGACCACGGUCGGUUUGGAAGAAUCGGAAAUCGGCCGUAACUGGGUUUUCACGAAACGUCUCUCUCCGGCCCUACCUUCUCUACGUCGCUUUUGUCCCCGUUCUUUCGUCACUGAGAUAUCGGUCGUCGAGAUCAAUUGUCUUGUGCUUUAGAUAGCCUCCGACCGCGCGGGUACGCGGAGAUUUCUUGGCACAUGGUGCUUCAAUCAGUGCGGUGCAUUGCUCGUAUCUUUCUUCUUUUGCGCAUCGCACGUCUUUGACACGGGAUCUGCAAAAAAGGGAAGCCCUGCGUUUCGGCGUCUACCUCUCGAUUGGACAAACCGACCAAUACCAAACACUUCACCGUGGACUCUAACGCGGUAUGCGGUGGCGAAUCUUCAUUUUAACCUGUCUCCUACUAAAGGGGAGACAGAUCGAGACCGUUCAGAGAAAAUUUUUAUGUUCGAUGUUCUAUUGGAUGUCGCACAAACCGGUCCUCUUGGUCGCGCCAUUACAGGUAUCGUAGAGGCUACAGAAUGUCGAGAGCACAAUUCUGUAUAGGAACGCGUAUCGGACCUAGAGUAUCGUAUUUUUCGUAUU